AAGUGUUCAUCUUUUUGCUUUUGCAAAAACUCUGUGCCAGCUAUGAGUAUCUCAUUGUCCAUUGAAGAACUGCUACUCAUGGCCUGCAAGAGUGAAACUCAUUGGUUCUAUGAAUGAAUGAAAUUGGACCUGCUGGAGGCCUUUAAUUAUUAUGUGGGCCUCAGAAAUGAUGAGGAUUGAUGUGGGUGUUAUUUCAAUAAAGUGUUAUAAACAAUUCA